UACGUAGGGACCGAGCGUUGUCCGGAAUCAUUGGGCGUAAAGAGCGUGUAGGCGGCCUGUUAAGUCUUGCGUGAAAUCUCGGGGCUCAACCCCGAGCGGUCGUGAGAAACUGGCAGGCUAGAGUGCGGGAGAGGAGAGUGGAAUUCCUGGUGUAGCGGUGAAAUGCGCAGAUAUCAGGAAGAACACCCGUGGCGAAGGCGGCUCUCUGGAACGCAACUGACGCUGAGACGCGAAAGCGUGGGGAGCGAACAGG
rnacentral:rRNA from 1 species